CAGCCUUUCUCUGUGUGUCAAAGAGAGCCCUUAGGGAAACGUUCGUGUGCGUGUGUGUGUGUGUGUGUGUGUGUGGUAUGGAAAGAUAUAAUUGCUUAAGUACAGCCUCUCUCUCUCUCUCUCUCUCUCUCUCUCUCUCUCUCUCUCUCUCUCUCUCUACGUAUUUUGCCUGUCUGCCCUCGUGUGUGUGUGUGUGUGUGUGUGUGUGUAUCUCAUUUAUUUAUUUAAGUUAUUUUUCUUCUUCACGCAGAUAGUAAUUGACGAACACAACACACCACGUGGAGAGAAGCAAGGUGUGGAGUACCCAAGCCUCUCACAGUCCAUGCUAGUAGACUCACCCUGCAUGUGGAGAUCUCCCAAAAUGCACGGAGGUUAUUCCAGAGCUGCAGGACAGAGUACUUGAGGCCAUUGGUGAACAGAAAGCUGAGGUUGAACAAAGCCAAGAAUUGAUAGCUGCCCAAGGUGUAAGCAAGAUUCACAAUGAUGAGGUCAUUGUGACGUGUGCAAUGUGUCCACUGGUCUUGGCCUUCCUGACCAAGGCAGCCACACAAAGGAAAUUCCACGUUAUUGUUGCCGAACGUGCCCCUAAAUAUGAUGGUCACCCAGUGGCAAAAGCUUUAUGUACUGCUGGAAUUGAGACAACAUUAAUUCAAGACUCUGCAGUGUUCCCCAUCAUGUCACGUGUCAACAAGGUCAUCAAAGGUCAUCGUUGGCACCGAGACGGUGGUGACCAACGGAGGCAUUGAGACCUUUGUUGGUGCAGCCUCUCUUGCCUCACCACCAAAGUUUUAUUCUGUUCCACUGUAUGUGUGCACUCCCACAUACAAAUUUAGCUUGAUGGGCUGUGAAGAAAUAAGCCACCAAACCACCACUUCUAUUAUCCCAGAGGGAACAAAGUUUUGGCCGUCUGUAAAUACUGCGCUGACUCAGCUAGAUUACGUUCCUCCAGAAAAUGUCACCAGUUUGAUAACUAACAAUCGAGGUACUGCACCAUCCUACGUGUACCGGCAGCUUAGCGAACUGUACCGUCCCACUUCUUGUGUAACAAGAAGGUAACAGCUUUAAUCCUUGCAAAUAAGGAAUAAGAGAAAAGAGACACACCUGCCAUUUGUACUGUUAUGCUGUAGUGUUCUGUCAUUUUUUUCCUCUUUUAUCCUAGAACCAUUUUUGGUCAUUCAUGUUUCUAAAAAUUAUUAUACAAAAAUGUUGAGCUUAAUAUGUUUGGUGUAGUUUUUUGUAACAUGUGUUAUUGUUAAUGUGUGUGGUUCCCCUCAGGAAGAAUGUUGCAGUAUUAGCAGUAAUGUUACAGCCAAUGGAAGUGUCUGUAUUGUGGUUUGGUGGGAGGUUAAUUUGAUGUAUUUUUAGAGUUGUGCAGGAUAUUAUAGCAAGCCCUCAAAAUAAAGAAAAUAACUAUAGAAAACACUCCUUGUAUUGAAAACACCACUGCAGAGAAAUCUCUAAUGAAACAGGAAACCCUACAUUCAGUACUGUGUGGUUGUUGCAGUAACACUGAGCUAAAUGCCUUUUGGAUGGUUGUACACUAAAAAUAAUGUAAAAAUGCCUAUAAACAACUGUCCGUCCCUGCAUUAAAAACCUUUCAUCAUAAAA